rnacentral:rRNA from 1 species
AUUGAACGCUGGCGGCAGGCCUAACACAUGCAAGUCGAGCGAGCGGCGGACGGGUGAGUAAUGUCUGGGAAACUGCCUGAUAGAGGGGGAUAACUACUGGAAACGGUAGCUAAUACCGCAUACCAUCAGAUGUGCCCAGAUGGGAUUAGCUGGUAGGUGGGGGAACGGCUCACCUAGGCGACGAUCCCUAGCUGGGCUGAGAGGAUGACCAGCCACACUGGAACUGAUACACGGUCCAGACUCCUACGGGAGGCAGCAGUGGGGAAUAUUGCACAAUGGGCGAAAGCCUGAUGCAGCCAUGCCGCGUGUGUGAAGAAGGCCUUCGGGUUGUAAAGCACUUUCAGCGGGGAGGCGUUACCCGCAGAAGAAGCACCGGCUAAGUCCGUGCCAGCAGCCGCGGUAAUAC